UUAAACUCAGAAUAGUAGCUUUCAAGUUCACAGCAAUGCCUCAGCACAGUUGUUGAAUCUGCCUCAUCUUCCUGAACUGUAUUGCAAUGCAAACUUGUAGUAUGGAGUCAAGGAACAGGAUCCUCUGCUGAACUUUCCCAGGCAGCAGUUGACAGCUCAGACACCCACAGCAUGACACGACAAAAACCAGCUACACAAACAGACCACAAGAGCUCUGAAAAAAAGUCUGCAUUCAAAUACAGUGAAAUCAAGUCUCAUACUAGAGCUGUUUCUUUGCCUCUGCUUUUAUGCAACUUGCUCAAGAAAGCAGCAUUUUUUAAAAUCUGUAAGACUGAAAGGAACGUAAAGGAAAAGGACAUUGACGACAGUAACACUGCUGAAGAAGAGC